rnacentral:rRNA from 1 species
UUUAAUUCGAAGCAACGCGCAGAACCUUACCAGCGUUUGACAUGGCAGGACGACUUCCAGAGAUGGAUUUCUUCCCUUCGGGGACCUGCACACAGGUGCUGCAUGGCUGUCGUCAGCUCGUGUCGUGAGAUGUUGGGUUAAGUCCCGCAACGAGCGCAACCCUCGCCUUUAGUUGCCAUCAUUUAGUUGGGCACUUUAAAGGAACCGCCGGUGAUAAGCCGGAGGAAGGUGGGGAUGACGUCAAGUCCUCAUGGCCCUUACGCGCUGGGCUACACACGUGCUACAAUGGCGGUGACAGUGGGCAGCAAGCACGCGAGUGUGAGCUAAUCUCCAAAAGCCGUCUCAGUUCGGAUUGUUCUCUGCAACUCGAGAGCAUGAAGGCGGAAUCGCUAGUAAUCGCGGAUCAGCAUGCCGCGGUGAAUACGUUCCCAGGCCAUUGUACACUCCGCC